rnacentral:lncRNA from 1 species
CAGCGAGUCACUGUGCCUGGAAGCAGGAGCUCGACUUGAGCAGGAAGCACUUACAGGACUUUUAAGAUUAUAGAUGCCCAGAUGCCCUCCUAGACCGAUUGGUUCAGAAGGUCUGGACAAGCAUCAGAAGAAGAAAGAAGAAAAGAGUGUGGUCUUCUGAGUUAUGGAGAAGUGGAUGAGCAUCUUCUGGUGGAUUUUCACUAGGGAGCUCUCCCCAGGGAAGAUGAUUUGUCUGGACAUGCCCAGGGCUUCUGACCAUCCCUCUUCCCUAAAAGAGGCCAAAAUUGUGACAACACAACUCUGCCUCAACUCUGAGGAGAUGAGUUUGAUUCUGGGGCUGGAGAUAGAAGAGAAAGUUUGAACCAUAUUCAAAACACAGAGUGAAAAAGACUGAUUUCAAAAGAAAGAGGAGAAAAUAGGAGACCGAGC